UACGUGAGGGUCCGAGCGUUGUCCGGAAUUAUUGGGCGUAAAGAGCUCGUAGGCGGUUUGUCGCGUCUGCUGUGAAAUCCCGAGGCUCAACCUCGGGUCUGCAGUGGGUACGGGCAGACUGGAGUGCGGUAGGGGAGAAUGGAAUUCCUGGUGUAGCGGUGAAAUGCGCAGAUAUCAGGAAGAACACCAAUGGCGAAGGCAGCUCUCUGGGACGGUACUGACGCUGAGACGCGAAAGCGUGGGGAGCGAACAGG
rnacentral:rRNA from 1 species